rnacentral:rRNA from 1 species
GGGGAAUAUUGCACAAUGGGCGCAAGCCUGAUGCAGCCAUGCCGCGUGUAUGAAGAAGGCCUUCGGGUUGUAAAGUACUUUCAGCGGGGAGGAAGGGAGUAAAGUUAAUACCUUUGCUCAUUGACGUUACCCGCAGAAGAAGCACCGGCUAACUCC